UACGUAGGUGGCAAGCGUUGUCCGGAUUUACUGGGCGUAAAGGGCGUGCAGGCGGUCUGUUAAGUCUAGGGUGAAAGCUCCCGGCUCAACUGGGAGAGGUCCUUGGAUACUGGCGGACUUGAGGGAUGCAGAGGAAAGUGGAAUUCCCGGUGUAGUGGUGAUAUGCGUAGAUAUCCGGAGGAACACCAGCGGCGAAGGCGGCAUCCUGGACUGGUCCUGACACUCAUGAGCGAAAGCGUGGGGAGCGAUCCGG
rnacentral:rRNA from 1 species